CAGUCGUUUCCUACUCCUGUUACACAGCUAACCUUUAAGCCUCCCACCCGUACAAUCACCUUUUUUCCUAUACACGUGCAUCUUCCUUCCGUUUUUGUUUCUGACACCGGUUGACAUGCGUUUGAUCCUAUACCUUUAAUUUUAUUCUUCUGCAAUUCCGAUCCCUACUGCCCAUCGCUUCACCUCCUAUAUUUCCUUCAUCUAUCUACAUAAGCGCCUACGAUCUGCUUCAUUUUCCGAUCGGUGCAGCUAAUCUCAGGGUUUGUCUCUUACUUAGUUGUUCGACACCAACAACUACUGCCAUUGCACUAGGGAGGGGAGCAGGUGAGGCCGGCGGCAGAGAUGGUUCGACCGGCCGGAAUGAUGGGUGAAUAAUAGGCGCACAUCCCCACCUUUUUCUACAUAUGUUCGCUCAAAUUCUCGCUACCGUCAUCACAGGAAGUAGUAAUACACACCAAGGUAUCCCCUUUUGCAAUUUUCCCAAUUUCGUCUCCCCCAUUUCGUCUCCUUUCUGCCUUUGGUUGUUGAUGAGAGUGAUUCGCAAUCAGCAUGAAAGAGGGCCGAAUUCUUACGCAACAGCAGUUACCAAUCUCGCUCAGGUUCGUCGUGUUUUCCAAUCUUCCUUUGUUUUCCUUGAAAUUAUUCGAGAAAACAGAUUGAAUUUCAGGAAUAUGCUUUCGUGUCGUUGGAAUUUUUUGUUAAUUUGUACUUAGUUAACAUUAUCGAAGAUUUUGAUUUACAAUUGGUAUUUUUCAAUAUGAAUAUGGAAACAAAUUAACCGAUGUAUUUGCAUAUGGCCUGAUAACCUCACUUCUAGGUAAAGUCAUAAGUCGUUGUCUUCAUAUUUCAUAUUUUGCAUGGGAAAGUACCAGUUUCCAAGCUUUGUUCCAUGAAAAGGUUAUCAGCCAUAGGUUGGCGUAAAAUAUCUUCCAAGGACAAGCCAAGUAGAUUUGAAGUUUCCUUCAAAACCGUUAGUUUCUGCAGCUGCAUAGGACCUCAUUAGUCAGAUGCUUAUGAAGGAUACUGGGGUUCAGAUUUUGGUACACAGUGGGAUGGAAAGCAGCUCAGAAGCUCAUACACCGCUAGAAAACUAAAAUUACUAUAGCUAACAAUAGAUAAUUUUAAUAUAAUAAUAAUAAUAAUAAUAAUAAUAAUAAUAAUAAUAAUAAUAAUAAUAAUAAUAAUAAUAAUAAUAAUUAGCACUCUUUACAUUACUUUUUUGCUGAUGGAUUAGGUAAUGAUUAUUAGGGGAAAAGACAGGGUAUUAAACGUGUCAUUCGCUCUCAAGAUCGUGUUAUUGUUGAGGGGAAGAAGUUGAUUUGCAGGUAAAGAAGCAUAUAAAGCAAGGGCAAGGGCACGAAGGUGGAAUUUUUACAUGUCUAAUAUGUUCAAAUAGUCGAUCCUGUGACAAAGUAAAGAAUGAAAGGGUUCAUUUAUACUUUUUAUUGCAUUUAACCCUCAUAAGAUGAUUGUUAUAAAUAAUAAUGUGUACAUAUUUAAAUUUCUUUCGCUA